UUUCCGUAGGUGAACCUGCGGAAGGAUCAUUAUAGUAUAACCGAGGUGCGAGGGCUGUCGCUGACCUGAAAGGUCGUGCACUCCCGAGUGCCCCCACACACAUCCAUCUCACCCCUAUGUGCACCACCGCGUGGGUCCCCACUCGGGUGGUUCGGUGGGGUGCCUACGUUUUCAUCCAAACUUUGUAUGCAGUCUAGAAUGAAUGUUUUGUUUUUGCUAUCACCCAAUCAAUACAACUUUAAACAACGGACAUCUGGGCUUUCGCAUCGUUGAAGAACC
rnacentral:misc_RNA from 1 species